rnacentral:rRNA from 1 species
CCUACGGGUGGCAGCAGUGGGGAAUAUUGGACAAUGGGGGCAACCCUGAUCCAGCCAUGCCGCGUGUGUGAAGAAGGCCCUCGGGUUGUAAAGCACUUUCAGUGAGGAAGAACGCCUGGUGGUUAAUACCCAUCAGGAAAGACAUCACUCACAGAAGAAGCACCGGCUAACUCCGUGCCAGCAGCCGCGGUAAUACGGAGGGUGCGAGCGUUAAUCGGAAUUACUGGGCGUAAAGCGCGCGUAGGUGACUUGAUAAGCCGGUUGUGAAAGCCCCGGGCUCAACCUGGGAACGGCAUCCGGAACUGUCAAGCUAGAGUGCAGGAGAGGAAGGUAGAAUUCCCGGUGUAGCGGUGAAAUGCGUAGAGAUCGGGAGGAAUACCAGUGGCGAAGGCGGCCUUCUGGACUGACACUGACACUGAGGUGCGAAAGCGUGGGUAGCAAACAGGAUUAGAUACCCUUGUAGUC